rnacentral:sRNA from 1 species
GUGUCUGAAUCUGCUUGCAGCACCGAGCCGCUGCCCCUUUUUUGGGUGGUGGUGGUGAUGCGACUGCGGCAGUUUUAGGCUGAGAAAGUCCCUUAGAACCUGAACAGGAUAAUGCCUGCGUAGGGAGAGUGCUUUUUUUUUUUU